CAGUAUGAACCAGUACAGACCAGUAUGGACCAGUAGGAGUCAAUAUAAAACCGAUUAUGAACCAGUAUGGACCAGUAUCAGCUAGAAGCAUGGGCCAUUAGGCAUCAGUAUGGAUGAGCAUGAACCAGUAUGGACCAGUAUGGACCAGUAUAAACCAGCAUGGACCAGUGUAAAACAGUACGGACCAGUAGGAACUAGUAUGGACCAGUAUGAACCAGUAUAAUCCAGUACAGACCAGUACAGACCAGUACAGCUGCCCAGGACACUGCUGUACCCUCCCAGUGCCUUCCCAGUUCCCUCCCAGUCCAUUCCAUUCCCCCCCAGUCCCCUCCCAGUCCCUCCCAGUGCCCCCCAGUCCCUCCCAAUCCCCUCCCAGCCCCUCCCAGUCCCUUCCCAGUAUGGACCAGUAACCCCCAAUUCCCUCCCCGUCUCCUUCCAGUCCCUCCCAGUGCCCCCCAUUCCAUUCUAACACCCCCCAGUUCCCUCCCAGUGCCCCCCAGUCCCUCCCAAUCCCCUCCCAGCCCCUCCCAGUCCCUCCCAGUGCUCCCAGUUCCCCCACCUGCCCCUCCACGGUGGUUCCCAGUAACACGAAGAGCUCUCCCAGUUCGCGCAGGCCCCGCUCCAGCCGCAGCAGCUCCUGGUGCCGCGCCGUCACCUCGUCCAGCGCCGCCCGCGUCGCCCGCGCCGCCCCCAGCACCUGCGCCAGCACCCAUGGGUGCCCCCCUGACACCCAUGGGUGCCCCCGACCCCCACCCGGACUCCCCCCGACGCCCAUGGGUGCCCCCCGACGCCCAGGGGUGGCCCCCCGAGACCCAGGGGUGCGCCCGUUGUCCCGGUGUCUGAGUGGUGGUGGGGGUGGGGAGGGGCACCCAUGGGUGCUACUGGGCACCCAUGGGUGCUAUAGGGCAGGUAGGGGACCCUUGGAUGUGUAUGGGUGCUACUGGGCACCCAUGGGUGCUACUGGGAAGGUGUGGGACCUCUGGGCACCCAUGGGUGCUAUAGGGCAGGUAGGGGACCUCUGGAUGUGUAUGGGUGCUACUGGGCACCCAUGGGUGCUACUGGAGCCCUGUAAGACCUUGAGGGACCCAUGGGUGCUACGGGAAACCUAUGGGUGCUACAGGACACCUAUGGGUGCUACUGGAGCCCUCCAGGACCUUGAGGGACCCAUGGGUGCUAUAGGACACCUAUGGGUGCUACGGGACACCCAUGGGUGCUAUGGGACGCCCAUGGGUGCUACUGGACACCUAUGGGUUCUACGGGACGCCCAUGGGUGCUAUAGGACACCUAUCGUGCUAUGGGACACCUAUGGGUGCUACGGGACACCUAUGGGUGCUAUGGGGCACCCAUGGGUGCUACGGGACACCCAUGGGUGCUAUAGGGCAUCCUUGGCCCCUUUGGGUCCCUAUGGGUGCCCCCGGCUACCUAUGGCACCCAUGGGUGCUGGGGGGGACCUAUGGGUGCUAUGGGGCACCCAUGGGUGCUACGGGACACCCAUGGGUGCUAUAGGGCACCCUUGGCCCCUUUGGGUGCCACCAGCUACCUAUGGCACCCAUGGGUGCUGGGGGGGGGCGGUGGGACCUGUGCCCCCCCCCAGCCCCACCCCCCCCCCCCCGCCCCCCUGGGGCCCCCCCCCCCCCACCCCAGCACCCAUGGGUGCCCCCCUCACGUUGGAGACGAAGACUUCGCUCUGCCCCGUCUCCAGCAUCUCCUCCAGCUCCUCGUCCGUCACCGCCGAAUU
rnacentral:lncRNA from 1 species